rnacentral:rRNA from 1 species
AUUGAACGCUGGCGGCAGGCCUAACACAUGCAAGUCGAGCGAGCGGCGGACGGGUGUGUAUUGUCUCUGAAACUGCCUGUUGUAGGGGGAUAUCUACUCGAAACGGUAGCUAAUAUCCCACAUCAUCAGAUGUGUCCAGAUGGGAUUAGCUAGUAGGUGGGGUAACGGCUCACCUAGGCGCCGAGCCCUAGCUGGUCUGAGAGGAUGACCAGCCACACUGGAACUGAGACACGGUCCAGACUCCUACGGGAGGCAGCAGUGGGGAAUAUUGCACAAUGGGCGCAAGCCUGAUACAGCCAUGCCGCGUGUGUGAAGAAGGCCUUCGGGUUGUAAAGCACUUUCAGCGAGGAGGCGUUACCCGCAGAAGAAGCACCGGCUAACUCCGUGCCAGCAGCCGCGGUAAUAC